rnacentral:rRNA from 1 species
AUGUUUCGUCAGCGCUUGGCGAAGCCCUACCGGAAUUCCUCUACCACUACCACGCCAUCAUGUUGGUUUAGAUCUCAUCUACCUCCUAUCCCUCACAUGCUAGAUCAAGAAAGAGAUGAUGAGGACAUCAAUACCAUUGUUACACCCACAGCCCCUGCUGCUAUACAUACUGGACCAAUUACUAGAGCUCGCGCACGCCAUUUAAAUUACCAGGUACUUUUGUUUCUUGGUAAUGAUUCUAAUGUUCAUGAGAAUAUGAUGUUUCCUAAAUUGGAUACAUUUGUUUUGCUUACAAAUGAAGGGCCUAGCUUGGAGAAGGAUGAACAUUGGAGCAAGACCAAGCAUGGAGAUGAUGGCAUGCGCAACGGAGUUACAAGUGAUGAUUUCAGGACUUUGAAGCCACCAUAA